GGAAGGGUACGAGCAGCUUCGGCAAGCGCCGGAACAAGACGCACACGCUCUGCAUCCGCUGCGGCCGCCGCAGCUUCCUCCUCCAGAAGAGCACCUGCUCCUCCUGCGGUUACACCGCCGCCCGCAUCCGCAAGUAAGGACAAGCCUCCACGUCGAUAGAAGCAAAUCAAUCCAUUUCGUUUGACAAGCAUUUUGGAUUUUCCAGUCUCAAAGCAUUCCAAAAGGAAGUCUUGGAUGCUUGGUUUGCUCACGGGGAUUGUGUUCUCCUAGCAGCCA